rnacentral:rRNA from 1 species
UAGGGAAUCUUCCGCAAUGGGCGAAAGCCUGACGGAGCAACGCCGCGUGAGUGAUGAAGGUCUUCGGAUCGUAAAACUCUGUUAUUAGGGAAGAACAAAUGUGUAAGUAACUAUGCACGUCUUGACGGUACCUAAUCAGAAAGCCACGGCUAACUACGUGCCAGCAGCCGCGGUAAUACGUAGGUGGCAAGCGUUAUCCGGAAUUAUUGGGCGUAAAGCGCGCGUAGGCGGUUUUUUAAGUCUGAUGUGAAAGCCCACGGCUCAACCGUGGAGGGUCAUUGGAAACUGGAAAACUUGAGUGCAGAAGAGGAAAGGGGAAUUCCAUGUGUAGCGGUGAAAUGCGCAGAGAUAUGGAGGAACACCAGUGGCGAAGGCGACUUUCUGGUCUGAAACUGACGCUGAUGUGGGAAAGCGUGGGGAUCAAACAGG